AGAUGAGGGAGAAUUACGCUCCUGCUUUUUUGGAUGCGAUUGCUCCACAGUUCAUGACAAGAAAGAUUUGGGCUGUGGUUUUACCCCGUGAGGUGCGGGCUCCAACCAGGCUUUUUAAGUUGGAGCUAGCUAUAUAUCCUGAAUUACAGGCUUCUAAACCACGUGCUGUAGUUAAACUAUGGAAAUGUAAAAUUGAGGAACCAAAGCUUAAUCUGGCUGACCCUUCCAUUAUCAUUUUUGACAAAGGAACAAAAACUCGAUACAAGAUCUUACCUGCCUAUGAAGGUGACAAACAACAGCUUCAAAGGUUUUAUAAUGCAUGUUGUGGCAUGGCACAGGUUUUCAACACGGCUCCAGCGCCGCCAGCAAAUCUCCCAAUGCCAAAUCUAUUACCUGCAAACUCAUCUGCAGCAUCUUCAGAACAAUCUGCACCCAGCAAGGAGGAUGUUGAAUUAGCGAUGGCUAUCAAUGCCUCAAUUCAAUCAGCUAUCGCAGAGGGAGUGCCCAAUGUUCAACUAAAUGCAUCCACUCCCAGCACCAAUGGCUGGGGUACCCCUCCAAGCAAUUCUCACAACGGAUGGGGACCUCCAGCAGCUCCUGCUCCUGCACCAUCAAAGUUGAGCAGCCAAUCCCAAGGCCAGGUUGACACCCCAAGCAGCAGCACAUACAAUGGAUGGGACAUGCCUGGAACAAGCUCUAGCCAAAGCUCAUCUAGACCCAACAAAACUCAAACCAAUCCUCCAGUCGUGAUUCCGCAGGAAGCACCUCCGGCUCUUCCUACCCCAACCGCCCCACCAUUUGCGGAAGAAACCUUCUACAGCGGCCCUGUUCAGUAUCCAUCCGUAGAUGCUACUCCUGUCGAUGUAGCCAUGCCUGCUACCACCGAAGGUGGCACAGCGGCAGCAUCUGCUAGACCAGGAGAAAAUGAGGCUAAUGCGAACGGCAGUGGCAACACUCCCUCCGGCACCUGUGUUAUUUGUCUGGAUGCCCCUGUGGAAGGCGCCUGCAUUCCGUGCGGCCACAUGGCUGGUUGCAUGUCCUGCUUGAAGGAUAUCGAGUCCAAGAAGUGGGGGUGCCCUAUCUGCCGCGCCACGAUCAACCAGGUUGUUCGCCUCUAUGCUGUUUGAGGAGUUGAAACGGUGAGCCUGGAACGUCAGCAAUGGAUGGUUCUCGCGACAAGUUUUGAUGGGAGCAUCUUUAUUAUAUAUAAAAACAAAUUAUGCAGCUGUGAUUGUGCAGUUCGUACUGCAGUGUAAAUUAUGACUCGUGUAAUGUGAUACUCGGGCCGUUAUAUACAGUGAUGUGUAUAUAACAGAUCUCGAAACAAAGUGUACUUCUGGCUGCUCUCUACCGUGGCAUCGUGCUGAAAUUCACAGUUGUUUGAA